GCUAAGUGACGUCUGCAGAGUCCCCUGUGCCGUGUGACGAUGCACGCUCACGGCUGCCGCGGGGACGCGGGCCCGGCCACUGGCUGGCCUGCUACAGCGUGGUCUAGAGAUUCCUGUCCGUUCGAGGAGCCGCGGGCCCCACCGCUUGGAGCGGUCCUUGGGACCAACUGGUCUUGGAGCAGAACGAAGACACCCAAAGAAAUGCAUCGUACGCACCAGCCCCUACCUUUUGUCUGCCUCUCAUUGUCCACGUGGUGGGUCCACAUCCACAUGAGACCCAAGGCUUUUCAUCAGGCCAGAUGUACCCAUCACGCGCUUGGACCCCAGGACAAUCGCCAGCAGAGCACCGCUCGUGUGUACCUACUGUCCUUGACUUGGACUCGGAUGAUUUCCUCAUGUUUAGAAGGAUGAACUGGCCUCUGUUUGCAGAGCACUCAGUCCAAAUGCAUUUUUAGAAAUCAAGCCUGUUGCCUCUUGGAUUAGUUCAAUACAAUACCUGGAACCAGACCCCGGUGAGGCUUUGUCUUACGCAAUUGACAUGUGAAUCUAAUGUAAUUUUGAAUAUGUACGUGUAUAAUGUACACGUAUAAGAUUUACAUGUGUUAUCUUAACUAAAACACUUUAAAAGGUGCGUAUCACAUUGCCGUAUUUCCUAGCCUGCUUAAGGCUGUCUCUGCCUCUCUCCCUGCUCAUGCUCUCUCUCUAAAAUAAAGUUUAAAAAAAGAUUUGCUGUCAUCCUGGGGCCACAGGCCAUCAUCAUCAGGUGGAGCCAACCUGCAGCCAGGUGAGCUGGCUUUACACAGGACAGGUGCCUGCCAGUGACACCCCCCAAGAGAUAUUCCUCUGGAGCAGAGGGAUUAUACAGAUGGGAACUCACACUCUAUCUGGGAAGCUGCAAAAAUAUUUUGACAUCCUGAAAGCUGGUUCCUGUUAGCAGAUCUCUUCCUGUUAAAGUAAAAGGCGGGGGGAAACAAGGAAAGUAAGAAAAGCAAGCCUGUCUUAAAACCUACCCUUGAUUUAGAAAGAGACCAUCUUCUGGAAGCAUUGUUCAUCUCCCGACCAUCAGAUAAUAUUGCUGAUUCAUCACGUCAGAUCCUUUUCUCUUAUUUUUAUGAAAGGACAUCAUUGAGCCAGUGCCUUUUGGGGCCAUCUCUUGAGUUCCAUGUGUUUCGCCCCACGUGUGCAUCCAGAAAACUGCACCAUGGAUGCAGAUGAGCCAAAGGCUUUGGGUGUGAGGGAGCAGGACGACCGGGUGCCGAGGGAGCUCAGACAUCAGGACUCACCUUGACCAGGAGCAGGUGCAAGGAACAGGUGUAUCUGCUCUGUGUUUGGUUGAAGCCACCGAGGAAAGAAGCAAAGACACAUCCGUGAUCGAGUCCCUGGAAGAAGGACUCAGGCUCAGGGGUCCGUGCUGGCCCACCAGGAGUAGAGACUGGAAUGUCACCCAGACUACAACCACUGGCCCAAGGAUUGGGGUUGCAUCUUCUGGACGCUCUAGGUGCUUCUCCCAAGGGACCACCAUCGUUUGGCCUCCGUGGCACCAAUAGCAAUGGUGUGGCCUCCAGGUGAAGGUGAGACACCCAGGUGUUUAAGACAUGGCAGCACGAAGGGGAGAAGAAAAUCCAGAGACAGGAAGCUGAGGUUCAUGAGAAGCGUGAGCCCCUAAGGUUUACCCAUUCUCUGAUGUGUAAAGACCAUAUGGCAUUGAAAACCCAGUACUGUGCCUGGCAUGCAUGCCCAAGAGGCUCCGAAAACAGAAGCAAAGGAUCCAGAGAGUGGUAUCAUUUCAGCUCCGUUGGGUGAGGAAGCAGAAGAAGGAGUUGCCUCCUUCAAGGAAACAUCUCUGAAGAUCCAAUGACACGUGUCCCAGAGGAAGCAUGUGGGUAAUCCUGUCCUAAUUUCUGUAAGGAAAUGUUGAGUGUCUCCAACCAAUGGAAGAAUUCGGGAGUGGAUGGGAAAUGGAGGCCCCCAAAAUAGAAGCCCAUUGUCCAAAAUCAAGGGCUUUGGACUUUUGGACUAUGUGCCUGGAGAGCUCCCUCCCCCAUUUGUUACAGAACUCAAGCGGAGCGUUGACGUGGCUGACAUUGAAUUUCUCGUGUCCUGUGCCCUCCGUGCAGUCCCAGCUCGAAAGGAUGAGGUCAAAGGUUUACCUUUCCAGCUGGCACAGUUCCACCGGGAGGCUGUUGGCAGGGGGAAGAGGCCAUCACUUCUCUGCAGUGGUCCUUUGUGUACAUAUUUGAUCAGCACUAACUUUCUUGGGUUUUACCCCAAUGAGUCUUGGUCCCUUGCCUGGUACUGCAGAUUUUAAUAUUAAUGCUAUAGCUACCGUGACAAUUGAAAUGAGACCCUGUGAGCAGACAGCCUGGCAUGUGGAAAAGCAUGUCUCCUUUCCUGCCGUUGAAACGUUUUUAUUUUACUCCCCACCGAGCUUCGGAUCCACAGUCUUUCCCUCUUUGGUAAUACUGAAUUUCAAGUGACUUCUCUCUCAACCAAGGGAGACAUUCCCAGUUGGUGUGCUUGCCACUGAACUUAUUCAAGGGAACAAUUUGGAGACCUUGGAUGGAAACCCCAGAUGCGCCUGACCUGCCCGCCAUUAACGGAGUUUUAUUUAUUCACUGGGGUCUUUGCUGUGCCUGAGACUAAGUGGAGAUGUCCGUCGGAAGUGGUCUGUUUUCUAAGAUGUUCACUGAGGUUGACUUGGUACCAUUUUCCGUGUGCACUCGCUUAAGAGGCUGUUGUGUGCUGUGCAUCAUAUCCCAAAUUUUGUCUUCUCCCAACUGGAUUUUUAAAGUAAAAGAACGAAAUCUUGCCAUUGGCAACAACGCGGAUGAAACUAGAGAUUAUUGUGCUAAGCGAAGUAAGUCAGUCAGAGAAAGACAGAUGUCAUGUGAUUUCAUUCAUAUGUGGAACUUGAGAAAUACCACAGAUGAAUGUAGGGGAAG